rnacentral:rRNA from 1 species
UACGUAGGGUGCGAGCGUUGCUCGGAAUCAUUGGGCGUAAAGCGCACGUAGGCGGCCUGCUAAGUCGGAUGUGAAAUCCCUCGGCUCAACCGAGGAACUGCAUCCGAUACUGGCGGGCUUGAAUCCGGGAGAGGGAUGUGGAAUUCCAGGUGUAGCGGUGAAAUGCGUAGAUAUCUGGAGGAACACCGGUGGCGAAGGCGGCAUCCUGGACCGGUAUUGACGCUGAGGCGCGAAAGCUAGGGGAGCAAACGGG